AUAUAUUCCUGUUUUUAAUUUAUAUAGAGUUUAAAUAAUGGGUAUAAAAUCUUGGUUCAUCAUCUGCAUGGCAUCAUGACGCCUCCAUGUGGAGAAUAUUCUAGACACAGACGAGUUUUAGGAGAGAGGUGGAUUAUAGGGAUUUGUUGGGCCAAGUGUAAUUUCGCAUUACAAAACAUUAAAAGGUCAAACCCUGUAAGAGGACAAUUUUUAUAUGUUUUAUAUGUCAAAACAAAUAUUAGCGGAAACAGCCCACCUGUUAAAAAUCCCUUGUGAAAAAGAAGUGGGCUUAAUUGUUUUAAAAGUGUACUUUUUUGUACUUGAAAUCUCAAAAGUAUACUUUUUAAAAAGGUGCAGCUUGCAGAUAAUAUGAUAUAAUUUAAAUUAAAGGCCACUGUGUACUUAAAGAGAGUACUUAAAAAAAACUUCAUGGUAAUGUAUAAUUAACUAUUACUUAAAAUUUCAUUUGACAUAAUUAUGAUUUUAUUGUGUUUUAAAUAAGUUCACUCAUUUGAUGUUACCCCAUCCAAAGAGAUAUGAGCUGUACUUGGAUGCCCGAGAGGCGUUUCAAAGAUGGACCGCCGAAUGACAAGACUUGUCUUAAAGAGACUUUUCUUAAACACACAUUUAAGUGCUUUGAUUGCAAGCAAAAGUUUAACAAAUCUAAACCAAAUUAAAUAGCAUUCAAAUAGCAUGCAUUUGGUUUCUAUUAUAGGCUACACUGCACUGUUAAAAUGACUUUUAGUCAGGUGAAUGAGUCUAACCAUGUAGUCUUUGGACUACACUAUGAAUUAGAAUAAGUUCAACUUGAAAAGAAAUGGAAAGCUUGAAAUAAUAUGCAACCACGCAGUGUCUCUUUUGUUUAAUGUCCAUGCACCAAAAUACUACGUCAUGACACCGGACUACUUAAUCCAGAGUUUUGAGAAAAUGCAAGGUAUGCCAUGUUUGUGUAAUCGCGAUGCGUGAGGAACAAACAAGAAGAGAACAACGGAGCGCCACAUUUGAAUGAUUACAGAUGAUACUUUAUGUACUGCAGACGAUGAAUCAAGUAAGUAGUAAUCUUUAUAUAAGCUUUCAUUAUUCAUAAUUUAGUCUUGCCAUUCAUGCGGCUUUCACUGUAACGCGGCAGUUAUUGCUAUAUGAACUCGGGAGGUGAAUUAACUGCGUAAUUUAACUCUGACUGCAUUCUGAUAUCAGAGUGUGAUCUUUUGAAAAUACAAUAUUUUAUUUUAACUACACGAUUUAAGAUUAAAUUUAAUGCUACUGAAUAAAAUUCAGAGAUCCGAUCUUGUAAUAUUUAAUGUACAUAAUAGAUAUUAUAACCACCAGUAACAAUCAAUAUAUCAACCACGUAUUAGCAAUGUUAAUGCUAAUAAAGAUAUAUAUUCCCACCUGUUCAUUUACAGAUGCCACUCUAAUCAUCAUAUAUUUUACAGGUAACAAACCAAAGGAUGAGGACAGUAGCUUUUUUUGUGCCAGCCAUGGUAAAUACAAGGACGUCCUUCAUGAAGACGUGUGAGGGAAGCUGGUAAGGCAAGAUCAUGAUCUCCCAGCAUUCUACUACAAUGUUGCCCUGAUGAUUGAGGUUUUUUUAUUUUUUCUGACUUUCCUGCCUCUUUGAAACAUUUCCAUUUCCAGAAUGUGGAGAGAUGGUGUGCAGCUUCAUGACAUGUGAGGUUUAGUGCCGAUGGACAGCUUCUGGGACAUUGAUAGCAACAGAUAGCAUUUUCCAGCAAGUUCAUUUGGAGUUAUUUUUGUUGUUGUUGUUGUUUUUAAUCAAUUAAUUUAUUUAUUUAGUCAAACUUGCAUUCACUAAUGCUGGAGUAAGAUUUUAGAAGAAAACUUUCGGUCCUGUUUAAUGUUGGUGCUAGUAAAGGUUUGAGAACUAAUGGCAUGGUUUCACAGACUACGCCAGGAUCAUAGGACAAUACGGAUAUUUAAGUCAUUUUCAUUAACAUGCCUUUCAUAAAACAUUACUGGUGUGCAUCUUGAGACAAAACAAAAGCACUGAUAUUUUUAAAGAUCAGUCAGUGCAGUUUUCUUUCAGAUGAAAUCACCCAGAAUUACAUUUUAGUUCAGGGCUGGUCUUAAGCCUGACAAGUCUGAAACCAGGGGUACAAGUACCACAGUUUGGUAAUGUUUUACAAUAAGGUCUCAUUUGUUGUACAUGGAAUUAUUAUUUUCUUGAUGUUUUAUUUAUUUAUUUUUUGUAUUAAGUGUGUAUGUGUUUGUGUGUUAGUAAUUCUGUAUGCUAUGGGGAUAGUAAUAUCAGUAAAUUUUGACCUUGUGGACAUUUUGAGGAGACUUACACAUCUUACGGAAUUAUGUUUUCUAUGAUGGCGAGAUUAGGUACUUUUGUAUGCAAGUGAUUUUGCAUUGUUCUCCAGACUUCAACUUCUUUUGACUUUAACUCCAGGAGUUAAAGUGUUGUAAAUUUGUAUAGUGUUGGGUUUAUCUUGUGCAUAAGCAAAACAUUUUUGAGUAUUUGUUUUAAAAAUUGUUUUGUUAAUAAAUGUAGAGGGCUUUC